rnacentral:misc_RNA from 1 species
GGGUUGAGAGUAAAUAGUCUUUUGGGUGUUGUUUCUUAUAGAUCUAUGAGUCUUCAUGGUGAGAGUGAUAAGGAGUAGAUCUGUGUAGAGGUUGCCAUGACCGAGUCAGAAAAUCGGUGGCCUUUCAUGUUUGGGGAUGAAAUUUGAUGGGGAUUAAAAAAGCUAUUGGUGAUAGGUCCCUGCGUCGUUCAAUGUCUCCUUUUGACACCGAAUCUGUUGUCCUUGACAAGUGGCUCAGCAAGGGAAGCUCAGAUCAUUGAAGGGUUCAUUGUCUUCUCAG